rnacentral:tRNA from 1 species
GGCUCGGUAGCUCAGUGGUAGAGCAGGGGAAUCAUAAUCCCUUGGUCGGGUGUUCAAAUCACCCUCGAGCCACCA